rnacentral:rRNA from 1 species
UACGGGGGGGGCAAGCGUUGUUCGGAAUUACUGGGCGUAAAGGGCUCGUAGGCGGCCAACUAAGUCAGACGUGAAAUCCCUCGGCUUAACCGGGGAACUGCGUCUGAUACUGGAUGGCUUGAGAUUGGGAGAGGGAUGCGGAAUUCCAGGUGUAGCGGUGAAAUGCGUAGAUAUCUGGAGGAACACCGGUGGCGAAGGCGGCAUCCUGGACCGGUAUUGACACUGAAAAGCGAAAGCCAGGGGAGCAAACGGG